CAAGAAGAAGAAGAAGGAGAAUUUAGCCAUUUCAGAGAGUCGCUGGCUGCGUUCGAAACCGCAUACUCAAUGAGAGACAUCAGGCAGCUGCUGGAACAUCUCGCAUUUGGAGACUGGUGAUUUUACAUUUGAAAAAUGGAUGUUGUUGAGCCAGACGAUGAGAAAGACCAUGAAGACACACCACUGAACCCCACAACCUUGAGGCAAGAGCAGAAGAACAUGUGCGGGACAAUCUGGCCAUCACCGUGUCUGCUCGACUACCUGUGAAACAUUUAAACAAUUCAGUAAAACAUUUUACAAUUCAUGUUGUCAGCACUCCAUUUCUUGACAAACUUCAUUUCAUGUUUACACUCACAUGCUAAUUUUUGCUGUAGCUCUAUUACUUUUGUAGUGGGCUAAACCACAUUUCCAGGAUGCUGCUGUGGAUUUCUCCUUUUUCACUGCUCACACCAGUCUGCAGACAUUUCAGAUCAUACAAGAAGCACAAAUAUAAUACAAAAGCAUUCAUUUUAACUUUUUUUUUUUUUGUUUUUACAAUAAUUUUAUUAUUUUUUUUUUUUAUUUCUGUAUUAAAGUAACAAAAUGAUCUUACUUUAUAUUUUUGUUUCAGUUCUUUCUUUCUUCCCACAAACACUGCCGUCACCUGCUCCACCACAAAAGAUCUGCAGAAAAUGCACAGAAAUCACAAAUCAAAAGUGCUGUAAUAACUCUGUUUGAUGUUACAAUAAAUAAAAUAAAGUACAACUUAA